GCCGUCGUGGCGCAAUGGUAGCGCAUCACCUUCCUACAGCUGUGUUGUAUAGGUGGGGGUUGCGGGUUCGAUACCCGUCGGCGGUA